CACAGCUGCUGAGACGCCACCGGCACUCGCUGCUGAUGGAGCGCUACCGUCCGGUGCUCGGGGCGCAGCGCCGCGUGCCGCCCGCGGCUGCAGAGCGGAGGACCGUCGCGCGCCGCGCGGCUCGUGCAGCGCUCUGCCUCGGGGACAUCCAGACUGAAACAGCGAUCGUCAACUUCCCUGCCAGCUGCAGUGGCGGAACGCACGUUUCCGAGUGCGAGGAGGAAAGGGGCCUCCCCUUAACUCUAAGAUACGCCUGUGUUACCUGGUUCUGUUAUUUUCGCCAACGCUACACGCAACAAAACAAAGAAAACUAUCAAAGAAGCCUCCCAGCAGACACAGCGACUUUAACCAGGGCUCUUAAAAGCACUUCAUUGGAUUCAGCCCCAGGAAACUUGCGGCACAGUUGCUCGUUUCUCCAUCCAACCGAACGGCCCACAAAUACCUACUGAAAUAAGGCAGAAAAUGAUCACCGGGCAUAUCACCGUGUGAGAUUCAAUGAGCAUCGCUUCCCUGCUCUAGCUGAAGUGCACCAGUCGGCCGGAUUUGUUACUGAGAGCUUUAAUCUGUUUUGGACUGGAAGGAGUCACCAAUCCCAGGGGACUCAGCAGGGACUUUGUUUGGCUUUUUGGCUAAACGUAUCUAAAAUCCAUUAAAGUCCUAUUUUUGAGUGUAAAUCCUUCCCUGGACCUCACCCCAAGAAAUACACACAAAGCUUCAAUUCAAGUCGUCCCGGAGGCAGCACUCAGGUUACAUAGGACAAAAGGUGCUCUUAAUCCAAGUGACAAGAACUGAACUCUGUAGACAGAGCAAUGAGAGUUGCCUACAGGUGGAUGUGAGCAGCUGAAAAGCUGCAGCAGAGAGAAGCCGGGACUGAAUGCACCUCCUGGGGUGAAGGAAGGCACGAGCUGCACCACAACGCCUCCUUACUCUGUGUCAUGAAACUCAGAUCCGGGGUUUGAGGGCUGCCACGAAGCCGGGAACCUUCAGUGCUCACUGCUCUGCGGUGUUCAUUUGGACAUUAAUAACUUCAGUUAUCCCCAGAUAAAUUCAGUGCAUGGCCCAGGGAGAAGAGAAAAAGAGAACAGAGAGCCACAAAUACACCCUCAGCUUCAAAAACUGUUUCAUGAGAAGAGAGACCCCAUGACUGAGUCUUGCAAUUCUACCAGCAUGGGAACUGUAGGGAAACAAAGCAAAAAGCCCCCUCGUAUGACAGAUAAGAGAAGUGAUGUCUUCAAGUCAGCUCUCACACACAUCAUCUUGCGUAAAUCUUAUUUCUCAAUUCCUAUUUUCUUCCAGUGUCUUUUUCACUUCCCCUGGUGAUGGAAACCAAAGGGAUGUAAAGGGAGAACUAUCUAAAAGAUGUUCCUUCUCUUCCAAGCAUGUGCCCUCCUCAUUGUACAUGCUGGGUUAGCAUGACUGCUAAGGGAAAAGAUUUGUUCCACUCUCUGCAAGCUGGUAACGUGCUGGGCACCGUACCUGGGAAGGGCUGGAACAGUAAUGGGUUUGUUACAGGAAAUGGAGAAGCAGCACAGCUAGUUGGAAACUGUGAGUGAUCUGCUGGGACUGGAAUGGGUGAGGACAGCACUGCUAAAUUGAUCCAAAGCCAACACCAAGACUUUAACGUCCUGACUUAAGUUGGUUAAUUGCUUCCAUCAAUUCUAGAUCCUUGAUUUAAAAUUAAUUAUGGAGAAAAUAACAAAGAAUUUUACUUCUGAUAAUUCUACAACUGGUAGCAUGCAAUUCAUAUCCCAGCAAACAGAUUUCUGCUUCCUCAAACGUAGGGGCACAAAGCAAACCAGAUAACUGCAAUCACAGAAUCAGUGUCCCAGAAGAGGGAUUGCUUGCAUUCAGCCACCAACUCGUACUAUUCACCUAUUGCACUACCAAGCAAUUUGAUGUCGUGCAUACAUGCACACGAAAUAACCUCCCUGCAGGACUCAGACAUAACGUGUCUCAUCCAUCAGAUGGCGUACGUUGCGCCCAAAACGCUUCACAACAUCAGACAAAGCCUUACACCCCUUACUGAAGUUCCUCCACUGCUCCGUACCAUCACAGAGAGCCCCAAACCCGACCUCAGCAAACCCCGUGGAAAGCCGAGUUCACAGCUGCAAGACGAGGUGAAUGGGCAGGAAAAGAACGUGGAUGUCCUUUUGUUGAGGAUGAUUUUAUGGGACUGUGGCUUGAGCAAACACUGUGGACAGCCCGUUAUUUGUUAGUGUGAUUUGUAGCAAGAAAGGAAAAAGAUAACUUUAAAAGUCAUUCCUAUGUAGAGGUGGAAGUUAGAUCAGUUGUUCCCUAAGGAUAGAACACCCCCAGCCAUCUCUAAGCCCUUCAGCAGCUUUAUAUCCCAUACAUAGGAUUUAUGCAGUUACAUUUCUCAUACAUACAAAAAUGACUUUUUAAGGCACUCAAUGCCAUUUAUAAGCAGAAAAGGUGUAUUAGGACAGACAGUACUUCAAUGGAUAAGUACACCUAUUUCCUUCCUUUCUGUUUCCUUCCUGCACACACCACUCUUACAACAGAUCCCUGCAUCCUUUCCAAGUCGUACAGCAGCUGUUUUCCCCCAGCUGCAAGAGCUCUCCGUAGCCACUCACACCUACCGGCCUUGCUGCACAACAGAAUAACCCUCAGCAUUAUCUGUGCUCCUUUCUUAUUAUUACUGCUAUUAUUGCACUUUUACAGACAGAUUCUUUCCAGAUGAUACAAAUCCCCCACAUGUGAGCUGAGGGAUAAUUUUCUCAUGGCUCCGUCAGGACAGCAGGACUCCCAUCACACUCCCUCCUUUUAGCUCCUUUACUGCCUACAUAGAAAUGUACAACAGCUACCAGCAAUUACAGCACGACACUAAAAAAUGAGCUUAAUUCUCCUUUCAUUCCCAUACCCCAGGCACUGCAAUCUGCCGCUCCUGGGGCAGAAUCUCUUAUCUGAGCGCACUGCUCCAGCUGUAUAAAAUACAGCCCUGGGAAGAAGAGCUGACGGAUAACACCUCUCCGAGUCACAAAGGAAUGAGGACUCCCAUCCCUGUUUCUAUGCACAGACUUCAGUGAGGAGGAAGCACCACCUGCAGCACCGUGCAGAGAGCGGAGGCAGCUGUACCGGCGGCUGAACCCCCCCAGGAAGGCCCUAAAAUGAGAGAUGCCCAUCAGUGUGAAUGAACUGCCAUCUUCCUCCUUCCCUAACAGCCUGUAAGCACUGCAGUGUAACUCCUGCUGGAAAACCUGCACUGUGCAGUUCAGCUGCUGAUCACGUCUUCACUUUAAUGAAAUUGUUUCCAUUUAAUGUUCAUUACAUUGGCAAUUUGCUGCCGACAGAUUCUAAUUUCUGUUACCAGGGGCAUUCUGGACAUGGGGAAACUGCACGUCCAGCUCUCGGUCCGAUCCUGCUUUGUGCUCCCUCAUUCACUGCACUGCUUAAAUCAUUACUUCUAAAUUGCUGUGCGAUGCUCAGCUCUGUACCACAGGCUGCUGUGACACCGGCUGCCCUUCCAACAGCUGUGCAAAACCAAGAGCCCCAUUUACCAACACAGCACUUCUGGGAAGUGAAUGUCAGAGCAGCUGCAGCGAUCUGCACGGCACUGAAAUCACUCGAGUGCCACCACUGGACUCCCAGGUAAGCACUGCUGACGGAAUGUGGAGAAAUAGCUUGGAGCUAUUGAAAGAUUGCAGGGAUUCUGAUUGCAUGAAAAAUCAUAAAAAUAAACAUUGUUU